UUUCACCACGAAACAUUCCAGAAUCACACGUAUACAUGUGCUUUCACAUAUGAUUCUGUCGGGUUCUGGGGGUCUUGGUCCUUUUUUCCUUUUUGUUUUUCUUUUCCCGUCUUCCUGGUGUGAGUCUGUAGCAUCACUGUGGCCCACUAGAUGGAGCCAGAGGCUGUCUACCUGGGAGGCGCGCCCAUGGGCUUUACGCACCUGGCUGUCAUCAUCUCAUCAUCCUCUGGAGGUUAAAGAAGCUGACUGCCAGCACUUUGACGCCGGAGUGUUUUACCUGCUUGGAAUCGUUUACUCCUCGAGACGAUUUGGAUUCUCCAGAGUGACUUCCAUCCUGGCUUUUUGGUUAAAGCCCUCCUCGUGACGCCGUGGACGGUACCCACUGGUUGCCCGAGUCUCGUUUUCACCUCUCCCGUCAGAUCUCAAGAUUCUCAGUUGUCAUCGGCUGGCAGUCGGACCUCACCUCCACCUCCGUCAAAUCAUCGCUUACCUGCCCGCCCUCCACCGCAGCCUCCUUGCCUAGGAUCCGUUGCCUUCAGCCUGGAACCCACAGACGACCUCCCUGAUUGUGAUCAUUCUUUCCCAAGUAAGCACCGAUCUACUCCUAUCGUAACUCCCGUUUCCCAUUUGACCUGAACUCAUCAUCUCCUCCUGUUCCGCAGUUUUCCGCUGUCUCCCAGACUCCACCCCAGGAUCCCCACCAUAUCGCAUUACUUUGCUUCAAUAAAAAAAUCUUUAACUGA